rnacentral:rRNA from 1 species
AUGCUUAAUACAUGCAAGUCGAACGCGAAAGCCCUUUCGGGGGUUAUUAGAGUGGCGCACGGGUGAGUAACACGUAGGUGACCUACCCUUUGAUGGGGAAUAACUCUUAGAAAUGAGAGCUAAUACCGCAUAAGAUCACUUAAUUUGAAUGUUUAGUGAUGAAAGGUUGCCUCUUUACAAUGCAAUCGUCGAAGGAUGGGCCUGCGCGACAUUAGUUUGUUGGUGGGGUAAUGGCUUACCAAGACUACGAUGUCUAGCCGGUUUGAGAGAAUGAUCGGCCACACUGGGACUGAGACACGGCCCAGACUCCUACGGGAGGCAGCAGUAGGGAAUAUUGCGCAAUGGACGAAAGUCUGACGCAGCAAUACCGCGUGAGUGAGGAAGGUUUUCGGAUUGUAAAGCUCUGUCAGAGUGGAAAAACGGCCAUAGAUCUAAUAGGUCUUUGGUUUGAUGGUACACUCAAAGGAAGCACCGGCUAACUUCGUGCCAGCAGCCGCGGUAAUACGAAGGGUGCAAGCGUUGUUCGGAUUUAUUGGGCGUAAAGCGCGCGCAGGCGGAUUAAUAAGUCAGGUGUGAAAUCUCGGGGCUCAACCUCGAAACUGCGCCUGAAACUGUUAAUCUAGAAUAUUGGAGAGGGAAGUGGAAUUUCGCAUGUAGGAGUAAAAUCCGUAGAGAUGCGAAGGAACACCAGAGGCGAAGGCGGCUUCCUGGCCAAUUAUUGACGCUGAGGCGCGAAAGCGUGGGUAGCGAACAGGAUUAGAUACCCUGGUAGUCCACGCCGUAAACGAUGAGCACUAGAUAUUGGGGGUUGACCCCUUCAGUGUCACAGCUAACGCAUUAAGUGCUCCGCCUGGGGAGUACGGUCGCAAGACUAAAACUCAAAGGAAUUUGACGGGGGCCCGCACAAGC